GCACCGGUAGCUCAGCUGGAUAGAGUACAUGGCUACGAACCAUGAGGUCAGAGGUUCGAAUCCUCUCCGGUGCG
rnacentral:tRNA from 1 species